rnacentral:snRNA from 1 species
CUUUGGCAAGCACAGAAAUAGUCUAAAAUUGAAAUAAUGCAGAGAAGAUUAGCUUGGCCCUGUACAAGUAUGCAAAUUCACAGCAUACUUCAUAUUUUA